GCUGCUUGCUUCCUCCAGAAUUUUUUACAUGAGUCUUCAUACUGAAACCCUGGAUCCUAACACAUUCAUUUCUCAUUAAGCCAACUAAAAUGUGUUUCAGAAUUACCUCAUCCCAGCAUCCACAACAAACACAAAACCCACUGAAGCCCAUGUGUUUGCAGCCCUCCCUGCCCAGCACACACACGACCAACUUUGAUAAAUGCAACCUAUCUUAAAAUGUCCCCAUAACCAUACCUAGUGGCAUGAAGCAUUUAAAAAGUCACACCAAAGAAUUCCUUGCAGAUUAGAGUGUCUGCUGUGCUCUGUAGAGCAGCUUUGCCAUUUCCUUCUAAAUGUUCCCCUCCUUACAAAAUGAGUUGCUUCUCUUCCCACGCCAACAGUGUCAUAUUAACGAUGUAGUGGCAGAAAGGAGAACAGGAGACUCUCGGAGCUUCAAACAACUCACCAUGUGGUGAAGAAUGAGAGUGGUCAUUUGAUUGAACUGGAAGCACAUCAGACACGCAGACCACCCAACCCGUCUUCAGCAAUUAUACUUCUGCAAAAAGAGCCAGUGUGUCUGAUGCGUGAGGGAGACGAAGAUGAAAAGAACGCAGACUGAGCUUCUGAAAAACUACAGUUAGCAGAAGAAAGAAAAGGAAAAAUUAUUUCAAACUCACGGGCAAAAUUCAAGAGCUGUGGUAGGUAAAAUUCUACUCCAAGUUUUGAUUGAACACCUUAAAAAUGAAACGAAAGAAGAACUGCAAAUGGAAAUACAAAGAGCUGUUUGCGGACAAAUUUGAUAUAAAGUUAAAGUGAAUGGGAAGGAUUCCCUAUGCUGGGUACCACAAAGCUUUUGAGUUUCCCUUGGAUAUUUGAAUCAAGUACGGAAGCUCUGAAGGAAGGAGAAAUCAAUUUGUCAUGCUUCGUACCAAACACAUGAGUUUUAUUUUCUCCACAUGGAAAGAUUGUAUCUGUAUUAGCUAUGAGGAUGGCCAAGGAAUUGCGCAACACUUAAAAUCAUAAAGACAGAGAAAGAAAACUUCCAUGAAAUACAAGCUAAAAACAGACAAACAAACAAAAAAACACCCACAACUUAUACAUAUGAGAUGAACCCCUAGGGUUAUUAAUGGAGCCCUAAACUCUCAUACCCCAAGGCCCUUAUAGGCAUUUCUGGGCAGCACUCAAUAAAAUCAUUGAGACGCCAGACAUCCUAUGCCUAAAGGUGUAUGAUUAAUUUCUAUUCACUAAAAACAUUGGAAUAUUUUACUGAAAUUGUUUAAUUUUCUAAAAAUGAUAGGUGAACGCAAAAGAAGUCAUCAAGUUAAAUAAUGACACAUAUAUAAAAUCCACCAUUCUCAAUAAGCACAGUUAAAUGACAUACCUUCUUAUUUAGCUUAUUUUGACAUCCCUCUCUGUCUGAUGAUUUUGGUGUUUGGUGUAAGGACAUGCAUCCUAGAUUUCCUGGUUUGUAUUUUGCUCACCUUUCAUUUAUCUGCUUAUUAUUUAUUUUAUCAAUUACAUAUAAUUUCUAACUUUACAAAUGAACUCUAAAACUCUUCCUUCCUUGAAAAUAUAUUCUGGGCCCCAUAUCUAAAAAUGUCAAAGGUAUAUGAUUUGGGGGAGGAAGAAAUGUAACAGCUGUCUUAGCAGUUUCUUACUUGUCAAAUAAGAUUAAACAGAA